AAUCGAUAAUCCUCGAUAUACCUCACCAUUUUUUGCCUUUCAGCCUGUAUACCUCCGUCGCAAGCUUACCAUUUGAAUGCCUUAAAGUAAGCCCAAUUGGACCCAGUACGCCAACACGUCAGGUCAAGGUGCAGCCCAUAAAAUGGAAAGAAAUGGGCUACAAUUUCUAAUAUAGAACAAACGAAAAACUACAUGAAACAUAGUCAUGAAGGCGGAUUUAGUAGUAAAAGAAGAACAGCAAGCUUCUUUUAACAAGGCUCUGGGACGUGUACAAACCGCCCGUCACCCUCUUCAACAGCACUCUCUCAGCUUAAUAACACACAUUUCGCACCUUAGAAGAGGCAAGUCGUAACAUGGUAAGUGUACUGGAAAGUGCACUUGGUAAACAAAGUAUAGCUUAACUAAAGCCUUCCGCUUACACCGAAAAAACAUCUGUGAAACCCAGAUUACUUUGACUACUAUAAACCUAGCC
rnacentral:rRNA from 1 species